AACAGCCGCGGUAAUUCCAGCUCCAAUAGCGUAUAUUAAAGUUGUUGCAGUUAAAAAGCUCGUAGUUGAAUUUCGGGAUUAAUAUGUUGGUCGUGCCUUGGUACGUACUGGCAUUAUUGAUUCCUACCUUCUGAAGAACCUCGAUGUCAUUAAUUUGGUGUCUUGGGAAAUCAGGACCGUUACUUUGAAAAAUUAGAGUGUUUAAAGCAGGCUCGCGCUUGAAUACAUUAGCAUGGAAUAAUGAAAUAGGACGUUUGAUUCUAUUUUGUUGGUUUCUAGGAUCGACGUAAUGAUUAAUAGGGAUAGUUGGGGGCAUUAGUAUUCAAUUGUCAGAGGUGAAAUUCUUGGAUUUAUUGAAGACUGACUACUGCGAAAGCAUUUGCCAAGGAUGUUUUCAUUAAUCAAGAACGAAAGUUAGGGGAUCGAAGACGAUCAGAUACCGUCGUAGUCUUAACCAUAAACUAUGCCGACUAGGGAUCGGAUGAUGUUAAUUUUUAAUGACUCAUUCGGCGCCUUAACC
rnacentral:misc_RNA from 1 species